UUGGAAUAACUGGCAGUAUUUGUCUAAAAUCACCACCAAACACAACAACUUUACCCCCAAAAAAUGGUAUCAUACUUUUUGUCAGGUGUACUCGUUAUAUCUUUAAGUGUUCUAUCCAAACACUCAAAAGUGUAUUUAUGUGCCAUUGGUGCUUCAUCCCAUAUAAUUAAUUUUGUUUGUCGAAGCAGUUCUGCAAGAUCACUGUCAUGAUCUAUUUUGCAUGUUGAGUUGUCUAGAGUUGGAACAGGAAUUUUAAACUUAGAGUGAGUAGUUCUUCCACCAGGUAGUAGCAGUGAUGCGAUUCCACUUGUGGCCACAGUCAAUACAAUUUCAUGUUAUGAUCUUAAUGAACUUGCCAGUGUACGCCACAUAAAUGUCUUACAUGUCCCACCAUAACCAUGCAAGAAGAAUACUCCUCCUUUUUGUUUUAAAACAGCCAACAUGAUCUUAUCAUAUAUCUUGUUCUGCUCAUCUUUACAUAAAACAUUAAACAAACAACAUAUAUGAGUCAUUGAAUUUACAUGAAAUCAUUCAAUUUUGUCAUAACUACUUUGUCUUAUAUUACCUGUCAGAGAAGCACGCAACUCAGCAAAUUCUUGUUUUGAAAGUGUUGGGUCAUAGUUCCACUCAUCAUAGAUAAGUCGAUUACCUAUCUGUUCUAAGACAUAUCCCUUAGGAUAAGGAAUGCAAGGGAAUUCCUUUAAACUACGCCUACUUGAUUGCAUUAGCUUUUCAAUCUCUAGCAAAGUUAAGUUUUGGAUGUCUUCAUCGGUAAGCAACAAAUCUAUUGUGUAAAUGAAAGUUUAUGUCAAAUACUAUUGAAAUAUUGGUUAUGUUUUGAAAUUUGUAAAAAAAAACCUAUUAUUUGCGAAAACCAACUGUGAGACAGACAUAAAAGUAAGAAGUAUACCUUGAUUGUUUGCCAAAACCCUCUCACCAUGUAAUAUUCCAUAUGACAACAAAUGUAUGGUGCUACGCCAAACAUGAUUUUGUCGAUUCAUUGCUUCAGAUAGUAGCAAUAUCACGAACCAUCUUCUAAGAAAAAAUCCAGAUCCCCAUCGGUAUGCGUCUCUUAUGGCACCUAUAAAUUCCUUAUCAUCAUCAAGGAAACCCAUGGCAAAGCAUGCAUCUCUAAAACUAUGAUACUGAAUUAUACCUAUUUUCCGGAUAUCUUCAUAACUUGUGGGACCUUUGACAACAGUCAGCAUUAACCGCAGAUAGAACAACUCUCCUGUAGUUGGUGGUACCCAGAUCAGUCUACCAAUGGUAAAUUCCCUCUUUCUUGGUGUCCAAACUCUAUCUUUUUUGUUAUAAACAAACUUGCUUACAAACUGACCAUAAGUGAGUUCUCUAGCAGCUUGAUAUUGUUGAUUUGCAAUUAGCCAUGCUGUAAACAUUGAUUCAGUAACACUUGCUUUUUCUAGUACAUUUCUCAUUCGAGAAUGAUCAGUAAAGUAUAUGGCUUUCUCUCUAACCAUAUGAAAAAACAUGCGUUCAAUUGCAAGUUUUCGGCCAUGUGUUUUGAACGAGAAAAUUCUCCAACAUGCCUCACUUAGAGAAAUGUACCUACAAUCAAGGUAUUCUUUGAUUUCAUCAACUGGCUGUUUUUCAAUUUUUAAAUGUUGGUUUGAUGGAACAAUUGUUGCACAGAUACGAUCAUAUCCCUUAUGAAUGUACUUGAAUAAGUACUUGAUUGAAGUGCUCUGAUUACACCACUCCAUGUUAAUAUGAGCUUGGUAUUUCAACAGUAAUUUGACAUUGUAUGGAACAACAUGUCUAUUGUCCAAUGAAAUACCAUUUUUUUCAAUUGUGUGUGUAUUUGCACUUCUCUUGUAAACUGGAUAACCAUUUUGAUCCACAAUAGUAGUUUCAGUAUACUGUUUUGGAAAGUAAUUGGAACAUUUAUCGUUUCUCAUGCAAGGCGACCCAAUCCGAGCCAAUCCGCAUGGACCAUGAAUCAUAUGUUUCUUGACUAAACUGUAUAGCUGAGGAUGUUGGUUUGGAUCAGGUAUUUCUGAAGAUAUGAUUUUAUCUAUAUCUACCAGUGCUGGAUAUUUGCUUACUGGCUGUAAGAAUAUUAGAAUAUGAGCAUGUGGUAACCCUCUCUUUUGAAACUCAAUAGUGUACAUGUCUGUUAAAAAAGAAAAUGUGUUAAGAAAAUGAUAAGAACAAUGAUAAGCAAUUAGUACUAAAAAUAUUUGUUUGGAACAUUAAAAAUAUCGGGUAAAUACUUACGUGCUAAAACUUUGCCAAGUACAUGUUUUUUGGUCAAGUCUGUCAUAAGCUCGUCAAAUUUAAUCUUGAAGAUCCUAGCAAUAAUAUCUAGACGAUCUUGUGGUUUUAGAUCAUUUUUGGCAAGCUCUCUUGUUAUUUCUGGCUAGGUAGGAUUACAUGUAAAUGUAAUAAAAAUAUAUGAAAAUUCAACCACAUUGAAAAUAGCCAUACCAUAAAAAUAUAAUUGAUCCAUGUAUCUUUUGCUACCAACAAAAGUUGAUGGUAACACCACCCUUUUUCCUUGAAAUGUUGGCUGAUUCUGAUUAUUAUUGGUAGAAUUUGCAUUGAUCUGUCUGUAUUUGCCUACUCUUAAUUUGGAUUGAUUUUUCCUAAGCCAAUUUAGCCUAUCUACUUCCAUCAUUGUGUAACCAUCAACCAAGAAUUGCUGAAAUAGUUUUCUUGAACAAAUCAAUGUCUUUGCUUCACCAUUUAUGUUUUGUAUUCUAAAUGAUAUCCAAUGUUUAAUUGUCAACCUUGUUUUUUUUUUUUUUUUGUAACUUUAGUAUCGUCAACAUAACGUAGUAAAAUGGAAGGACGGUAUCCAUCUUCUCCAUAUGGAAAUAUAAGAGGAUAUUGGAAACUCAAAUAACUGGAAUGAAAUUCAUCUAUUCUUUGCAAAUUUCUAGUUUGUCCUUGCAUGAUGAUAUCUCUGUGGGAAGCAGAGUCUAUAUCACCUAGGAAGUGCAGCAACUUCAGAUAUUGUUGGUUUGUUGUAAAUUCUACCAUCAGUUUUUCGGUCAGCAAUCAGUUUCAAUUUGACAUCUUGGAAGUUUCGAUCAUGCAGUAUAUCUCUUGCCAUUCGGAAAACUUGUGCAUGGACAUUAUUCUGGUCUGGCAUAACCUUGAGUCUCUUCACAAUAUCUUCAUCAAUCUCUUUGUUUGAUCUAUAUAACCACAAAAUUUAUAUUAAUCAUAAGCAAUAUGAAAUUUUAUUCUCCAAUGAAAUUUUUAAAAAUUAGUAAUAAACAUGUGUAUGUUGUACCUGUAGGUUUUCAUUCUAUUUGAAAUUUCAUUCUCCGUAUCAAAUAUGUAUAGUUGAGCAUAUUUUGGACUCUCACCAGGUGAGGUAAAUGAAAACAUUGCCUUUUAUGUCCUGGUAUUUGCUUGGUAAUUCUUGCUAGCUACUGAUUGGUUUCCAUCUAAAAGAUCUUGCAACAGUUGGGGAGGUGGUUCUAACAGAGGUUCUUUACAUGUUUUACCAUUAGGAGAAGGAAUCCUUGUGGGCAUUGAAAAUGGAUUGUAAUAUGUUGGUGGUAUAUUUUCCUUUGAUAAGUGUUGCUUUCUCUUAGCAUUUUCCUAAUUUGGCGCGGUUGAUAAAUCACAAACAUCUGCAGUUCUUAUCUCACUUAAGAGUCCAGUAUGAGGAUUAGUUGAAGUACUUGCUCCAGGAUCAAAAUACCUUGAUCGUGAGAACUUAACAUUAGACGACAUUCUGUUAAAUUCAUGAUUAUAUUCUAUAACCAAUUGUGAUUGAGGGAUUGGUUUGACAUUUGGCCUGGACUGAUUGAGUUGUUUAGCACAAAUAGGUCUUGAAGAUUGACAUUGGGGAUUACCAAGAUUUCUUGAGUGUGUUUGAGUUUGAUUAGACUUAGAUAUCUGCAAUGGAGUUGCAUUAGGCCGAGGAACUUGUUGUUGAGGCUGAUUAAGUGAUCUUGGCAGCUUUCUUUUAACAUUUGUCAAGACAGUAGUUGUUGUUUUUCCAGAAUCAGGUGUUGGAGCAGCAGUUGGUUUUGGUUCAUCAGUUGAUGCUGAGGCAAACUUGUUGAGUAGAUUAACACCAGAUACAUAUUUCCUUGGUAUUAGAUUCAAUGGACAUAUUCUAUUUUGUUGAUUAACUGAAGGAUUUGUCUUAUUUUGAAGAGAUUGGUUGGAAAAAUUUAGCUGGUUCAGUGUAACUGAAGUGAUAUCUGCAAGUGGUGUUAAAGAAGGGGAACUUUUUAUAUCAAGUGAUUUUUUAUUGACUUUGGAA